UUACGGCCAUAUCAAGUUUAAACACCGGUUUUCGCCCGAUCACCGAAGUUAGUCAAAGUCGUACCUGGCCAGUACCUAGAUGAGUGAACACUUGAGAAUGCCAGGUGAUGCAAG